AGGUGGCCCUCCAAGCUGCACCCAUGCUGUGGCUCUGUCUCCCCUCGAGACCUCCUAUCUGGUCAUCGUGUACAGAAGAGGGAGAGUCUUGGAGAAUCAUGCCUCCCCCUGGAUGUCACAGACAGCAUUCCACUUACAGUGCAUGGCCACAACCAGUCACGUGACCCCUGACCGUGAGGGACUUAAUAGUGUCACCUCCCAAGGAACUGGAAGCAGAGGGAAACCAGGAGGGUUCAGCACCAGAAGUCUCCACCCAAAGGGCCUGAGAGCCCCAAGGACCAACUCUGCCUACACUCUGCUUUGGCAGGAGGCUGUCUCACUCCCGAGGCCCUGCCUGAGUCAUCUGUCAGCGGCAUAAGUACGCAACCUUCUGAAUGGCUUGUUAGAUGUCACAAUAACAAAGUUUUGUGUAAAGUCCCUAGGAUUAGCUGAAUCCACCCUCAGACAGACCACCCCUCUCCUCUCCGGGUGAGGUCCCUGCUGGAAACACAAGCUCUAGGAUGGUGAGCAACGAAUUUAGCAGGGGCGUAUACUGCAGAAGUUCAUGGCUGUCUGCCCAAUUUCCUCUUCCCUCCUGCCCUCACGGGAGUGGGCAUAUGACCCCGGACUGGCCAAGCUCUGCCUCCCUGGCACAGUGUCUCAUGUACUGUGGUUCCAGGGGUCAGGACCUGAUGGAAGUGGGGUGCCCCCAGGACAACUAGAGAGCCCCAGCUCUUCGGAUAUAGGGGGCUCAAGGGCCAGCUGAGCGAGUCUCCUCUGCUCCCCCAGGGGAAGCACCUGGGGACCAGUACCCCAGUACAAGUGCCUGCCAUGCAUCAACUGUGACCCACUGAUGUGAUGGACACAGCUCAGUGCAAGGCGGCCAGCAGAAGACGGAGCAGAUCACACACUGAGAGCGUCACACUUAGGCUCCUGCCUGAGAAAAGAGGCAGCAGAGAGAAAUUCUGAGACCUCUGCCUGCCUGCCCUGUGCUCAGAACCUUCUCUCCUGGCCCAUCUGGGGUACAGCGCACCCUCCGUGGG